AGUGAACGCUGGCGGUAGGCCUAACACAUGCAAGUCGAACGGCAGCACAGUAAGAGCUUGCUCUUACGGGUGGCGAGUGGCGGACGGGUGAGGAAUACAUCGGAAUCUACUUUUUCGUGGGGAUGACGUAGGGAAACUUACGCUAAUACCGCAUACGACCUACGGGUGAAAGCAGGGGAUCUUCGGACCUUGCGCGAUUGAAUGAGCCGAUGUCGGAUUAGCUAGUUGGCGGGGUAAAGGCCCACCAAGGCGACGAUCCGUAGCUGGUCUGAGAGGAUGAUCAGCCACACUGGAACUGAGACACGGUCCAGACUCCUACGGGAGGCAGAAGUGGGGAAUAUUGGACAAUGGGCGCAAGCCUGAUCCAGCCAUACCGCGGGGGUGAAGAAGGCCUUCGGGUUGUAAAGCCCUUUUGUUGGGAAAGAAAAGCAGCAGGUUAAUACCCCGCUGUUCUGACGGUACCCAAAGAAUAAGCACCGGCUAACUUCGUG
rnacentral:rRNA from 1 species